rnacentral:misc_RNA from 1 species
CAACCCUCAAGCCCCCGGGCUUGGUGUUGGAGAUCGGCAACCGCCCCUUGCGGGUGCGCCGCCUCCCAAAUCUAGUGGCGGUCUCGCUGUAGCUUCCUCUGCGUAGUAAUUCACCUCGCUCUGGAACGCGGCGCGGCCACGCCGUUAAACCCCCCACUUCUGAAG